CUUUAGCCCUGAUCCUUUCCCCAAUCCAAAGGGCACUAAUAAAGGCAAGGGGGGUAAAGGCCCAGGUCUUAAGCCCGCCUUCUCUUCCUGGUACCUCCCGCCUCCGCUUUUCACAUCGUGGCAACCUCCAGGUCACUCGAUCAUCUGCUGGCUACACCUUUGCACCACCCAACAAAAUGGCAGGUUAGCAACAGGCGAGGCCGAGAGCCCUGCUCUAGCUCUAGCCAAGCGCGGCCCCGGCCAAGCCGCCGGGGGUCUCCGACAGUGCCCGAAGCCCAAACACCCUUCCCCUCUCAAAGUCCCCAAUCCUGGGCCCCGCCGGGCCGCCCGCUUGCUCUCUCGGGCCGAUUUCUGUCGCCAGCGGGGAAGCAGGUGUCGGCGUAACAGGUGCCAGAACUGGAAUGAGUACCUGUGCAUAGCAGGGUGCAAUGAAGUUAUGAGGGAUGAAAAGAUGAAGGAAUGAAUCAAUGAAAUGCAUCGUUGUGAAAGAAACAUACACUCUGACUUCCUGCAAUGGCCAGCACUCAGCAUUGAACACCAGUGGACACACCAGAGGUCCUGACAUCAGAUAAUUGCUUCCACUUUCUUAGGCUGUUUUUGCAAGGACUUCCUUAACUGCUGAGUGAUCCCAUGAAACUCUAUAGUGUACCAA